rnacentral:lncRNA from 1 species
AAUAGUUUAUAGAAAAAACAUUAAAAAUAAAAUAAAGUAGAGAUGUGACAUUGUGAUUAUAGCCCUCCAUUCAUAAUGGAGGGUUGGAUAAGGGGAAGUAUAUAAGUUUUAUGCUCUAGGGGAAGUAAAAAGUAAAUUAAAACAAGGGUACGGUUUGUAUGAGGCUCUAAACAAUGAAAGUAAAGCCUACCUUCAAUAGUAUUGAGAAAUGUGGUUUCAAUACUGGAAAUAUUUAUGAUAGCCUUAAAAUAUAUUUUCAUCUUUAAUAAUAAAAUUUAAAGCUUAAAAAUUAGUGUAGAUCGAACAGAUCUAUGAAAACUUGAAAAUCUUGAAACUUGACGGUCCAAAUUGAAUUACAAGAUGCUCCAUUUUCAAACUUGAAAUACAUUUUUUUUUCUCAUGUCCAUACAUCUUGUUGUCGAGAUGAUCAAUUUGAGGAUAUUUGGGCAUCAAAACAACCUUUCCGAGUGAAAUUUUUGAGGUGGGCUCUAAUUUGAUUGUUUAGAGCCUCGGCUCUAUUUAAACUUUUUCCUAAAAACAAAGAGCUAAUUAGGACCCUAAAAAAAUACAAACAAUACGAGAUGCGACCUUUUUAACCAUAAAUUAUCAAAAAGAUCAGUCAGUGAGCUUUUUUUUUCAAGUUUGCCCCUACGGUCCGAGGUUGAAAUUCUCAUACUGCUUUAUUUUUUUCAAAACUUAAGUUGCAGUCCAAGGUUAAAAUUCUCGAACCACGUUAUUCCAGGCUGAAAUUCUCGAACUUUUUCAAAAGUUAAGUUGGGGUUUGAGGUUAAAAUUUUCCAAUUGUUUUUUUUUUUUAUUAUCAAAACUUAAGUUGCAGUCCGAGGCUAAAAUUCUCGGAACUUUUUUUUUUUUUUUUCCAAAACUUAAGUUGCAAUCCGAGAUUAAAAUUUUCGGAUCGCUUCAUUUUUUCAAAAC